UCGCUCUUCGUAACCAAUACCGCCUAGGACUCUCAGACAGCCUUAAAGAUGAACUAGCCCGUACCGAAUUACCAAGAGGCCUAGAGGAUCUUAUGACACUCAGUAUUCAGAUAGAUAGGAGACUCCGCGAGAGAAGAUCCGAACGACAGCAGACAGAAGGUACCCAAAGGUACUACCCAGCACCCCAACCUAAGGAUACUUCCACACCUAUGGAGAUUGGGUUUACCAAAGGACCUCUCACGCUCGAAGAAAGGCACAGAAGACAACAGAAGAAUCUCUGUAUGUACUGUGCAUCUCCAACUCAUCUCGUAAAAGAAUGCCCUCUACUACAGCGCCAGAAAAGAAUGGGAUCAGCAAGUGCUACAAGCUGAAGCAAUUGUCGACUCAGGAGCUUACUCCAAUUUUCUUGACUUAACACUUGUAAAUAACAAUAAAAUACCACUAAUUCUGAAAGCAAA